GACGAACGCUGGCGGCGUGCUUAACACAUGCAAGUCGAACGGAAAGGCCCUGCUUUUGUGGGGUGCUCGAGUGGCGAACGGGUGAGUAACACGUGAGUAACCUGCCCUUGACUUUGGGAUAACUUCAGGAAACUGGGGCUAAUACCGGAUAGGAGCUCCUGCUGCAUGGUGGGGGUUGGAAAGUUUCGGCGGUUGGGGAUGGACUCGGGGCUUAUCAGCUUGUUGGUGGGGUAGUGGCUUACCAAGGCUUUGACGGGUAGCCGGCCUGAGCGGGUGACCGGCCACAUUGGGACUGAGAUACGGCCCAGACUCCUACGGGGGGCAGCAGUGGGGAAUAUUGCACAAUGGGCGGAAGCCUGAUGCAGCAACGCCGCGUGCGGGAUGACGGCCUUCGGGUUGUAAACCGCUUUCGCCUGUGACGAAGCGUGAGUGACGGUAAUGGGUAAAGAAGCACCGGCUAACUACGUG
rnacentral:rRNA from 1 species